rnacentral:snoRNA from 1 species
AUGCUUUUAUGACUGAAGUGAUGGCACAGCAGGUAGGGCGUUUGCUUUCAUGUGGCUGACCCAGGUUUGAUUCCUCCAUCCCUCUCGGAGAGCUA